CCCUGGGGACUGUCUUACUACACCUCAGCCCAAGGUGUUCAGCUGAGUGACCAACGCACACCAGGUGCCGUGUGUGGUACUUGCAGGAGCCAUGAACAUAAAAUGCCAAAUAUGGUCCAAGCUUCCUCUUCUCUGGCUGACUGGCCUGCCCUAAGGCCUGAACUGGAACUGAAAUAUUGGAAGCUGCGCCCAAGAGAAGCAGAUGCCUGACUUUCACAUCCACCAUCUGAUCAGAUCCGACCUCUACCCUCAGUUUCUAGGGAAGAGGAGAGUCCACCUCUCCAAGCGGGUCCUUACAGAGCAGGUGGCAUUUUAGGAAUGUUAUUCGGCGCAGGCACCUGUCAUAGGCUCUGCUGGAUUGUGACCUCCCUCCCGCUCCCUCCCCCUCGCUCGCGGCGAC